rnacentral:rRNA from 1 species
GACGUAGGGGGCGAGCGUUGUCCGGAUUUAUUGGGCGUAAAGCGUGCGUCGGCGGCUGCGCAAGUCGGGUGUGAAACCCCGGGGCUCAACCCCGGAACUGCAUCCGAUACUGCGUGGCUAGAGGUAGGUAGGGGAGAGCGGAAUUCCUGGUGUAGCGGUGAAAUGCGCAGAUAUCAGGAGGAACACCGGUGGCGAAGGCGGAUCUCUGGGCCUUACCUGACGCUCAGGCACGAAAGCUAGGGGAGCGAACAGG